rnacentral:lncRNA from 1 species
AAACUGAAGCAGGAAGAUGUAAAGUCAUUUGCCAAGAAGACAGAAGGCAUUUCCAAGCAAAGAGAGCUUCUGUAUCUGCCCCACAAUGGAUAGUCUUAAGGAGUUGCCCAGAGCACUGAAAGUUUUGGGGAGCGUCAUUAAAUACAGCUGGCUGAGGUCAAAGAAAUACAGUCAUUUUGGUGAUAAUAAAGUCCUGCAAAUAAAAUCAACGUCCAUUGAUUGGAAACUGGCUAAACAAAAGGUGGGACGUGAAUGCCAUUUCUAUGCUAUAAGAAAUGAAUAUGAAGUAUUCUGAGAAGUACCAGAAGACUUAAGUGAACUGAUGCAACAUGAAACAAGUACAGCCAGGACACAAUAUACACAAGGACUACAACACAAAUGGAAAGAGCAAAAACCUGCAAUUGCAUGUUAUGUAAUUAUAGUGCCACAACUUGACCCUGAAGAAGAGACGAGUAAAUCUAUCUUUCCCCUUUUUUUCCCUUGGAGAAGGGAAGGUUCAGAGGAAACACAAGAGCUCCCCUGAAGUAUCUGAAGCUCUCUCUGUUUUUUGAUGGGGGAUAUGGAUGAGGAAUCAUGUACAUUCUGUUGAUUGCUGGUUUCACUGUAUUUUUUUUCUCCAUUUUUUGAUUUUUUGUUACAAUGGAUGAUUUGUUGGAUAGGGGUGGUACAUGAAAGUAGAAAAUGAUGAUGAUGUCAAAACAAAAGGAAUGAAUAAAUUAUAAUUUAAAGAAUAGAAAACAACUGUUUGGUAUUACAAGCAGAUGAUAGGAUUAGAGCCAAUGGUCUAAUCAAAGAAAUUACCUCAGUUUGCUCUCACUCACAUGAGACCACUGUAUACCAGAAAGUCAAUACCUCAAUAGCUAGGGGAAAAAGGUCUUUAGAAUAAUCAUCAUCAUCUUUAUCAUCAUCA